rnacentral:rRNA from 1 species
UACGUAGGGGGCUAGCGUUGUCCGGAUUUAUUGGGCGUAAAGAGCGUGUAGGCGGCCAGGUAGGUCCGCUGUGAAAGUCCGAGGCUCAACCUCGGAAUGUCGGCGGAAACCCUCUGGCUAGAGUCCGGAAGAGGAGAGUGGAAUUCCCGGUGUAGCGGUGAAAUGCGCAGAUAUCAGGAAGAACACCCGUGGCGAAGGCGGCCUC